rnacentral:rRNA from 1 species
GAUGAACGCUGGCGGCGUGCCUAAUACAUGCAAGUCGAGCGAACGGACGAUAAGCUUGCUUCUCUGAUGUUAGCGGCGGACGGGUGAGUAACACGUGGAUAACCUACCUAUAAGACUGGUAUAACUUCGGGACACCGGAGCUAAUACCGGAUGAUAUUUUGAACCGCAUGGUUCAAUAGUGAAAGACGGUCUUGCUGUCACUUCUAGAUGGAUCCGCGCUGCAUUAGCUAGUUGGUAAGGUAACGGCUUACCAAGGCAACGAUGCAUAGCCGACCUGAGAGGGUGAUCGGCCACACUGGAACUGAGACACGGUCCAGACUCCUAAGGGAGGCAGCAGUAGGGAAUCUUCCGCAAUGGGCGAAAGCCUGACGGAGCAACGCCGCGUGAGUGAUGAAGGUCUUCGGAUCGUAAAACUCUGUUAUUAGGGAAGAACAUAUGUGUAAGGAACUGUGCACAUCUUGACGGUAACUAAUCAGAAAGCCACGGCUAACUACGUG